AGUAAAUAGAUACCCGGGUAGUCCACGCCGUAAACGAUGAGUACUAGGUGUAGGAGGUAUCGACUCCUUCUGUGCCGCAGUUAAACACAAUAAGUACUCCGCCUGGGAAGUACGGUCGCAAGAUUAAAACCUCAAAGGAAUUGACGGGGGUCCCGGCACAAGCAGCGGAGCAUGUGGUUUAAAAUUCGAAGCAACGCGAAGAACCUUACCUAGACUUGACAUCUCCUGAAUAGUGUAGAGAUACAUGAAGCCCUUCGGGGUCGAGGAAGACAGGUGGUGCAUGGUUGUCGUCAGCUCGUGUCGUGAGAUGUUGGG
rnacentral:rRNA from 1 species